UACGGGGGGGCAAGCGUUGUUCGGAAUUACUGGGCGUAAAGGGCGCGUAGGCGGCCUGCUAAGUCGGAUGUGAAAUCCCACGGCUCACCCGUGGAACUGCUUGGUAUACUGGGUGUCUUGAGCCACUUAGGGGCUACCGGAACAAAUGGUGGAGCGGUGAAAUGCGUAGAUAUCAUUUGGAACGCCAAUGGUGAAAACAGGUAGCUGGGAGUGUGCUGACGCUGAAACACGAAAGCGUGGGGAGCAAACAGG
rnacentral:rRNA from 1 species